AGACAAAUCAAUUUUUUAAAUGGGCAGAGGAUGUGAAUAAAUAUUUCUUCAAAGAAGAUAUAUAAAUGGCUCAUAUACACAUAAAAAUGUUGAAUGUCUUAAAUCAUUAGGGAAAUGUCCAUCAAAAACUGCAGCGAGAUACUACUUUACACUCACUGGGAUGGCUAUGAGAAGAGACAGACAACGACAGUGUUGACAAAGACCAGGAGAAAUUGAAACCCUCAAACAUUGCAGAUGGAAGUGUAAAAUGGAGCAGCCACUGUGGAAAUCAGCCUGACAGGUCCUCAAAAAGUUAAACAUAAGAGUUGCCAUACGAUCUAGCAAUUCUGCUAGGGAUGCACCCUAGAAUUAAAAACAUGUCCACGCAAAAAGUAGUACAUGCAUGUCCAUAGCAGCAUUAUUCAUAAAAGCCAAAAUAAAGUAGAAACAACCACAUGUCCACUAAGUGAUGAAUGGAUGAACGGAUAUAGUGAUGGCUCCAUACAAUGGAAUAUCACUCAGCCUUGCAAAGGAAUGAUCCAUGCUGCAGCAUGGGAGGACCUUAGAAACAACAUGCUUCGUGAAAAGAAACUAGACACAAAAGGCCACAUACUGUAUGAUUCGUUUAUAUGAAAGAUCUAGAAUAGGCAAAUCCAUAGGGACUCAAAGUAGAUUAGUAGUUACCUGGGCCUGCGGGAAGACAGCACUGGGGAGUGAUGGCUAAUGGGUACCAUGUUUCUUUUUGGGAUGAUGAAAAUGUUCUGGGGUUAGAUAAUGGUGAUUGUUUGCUAUACAACCUUGAGAAUAUACUAACCACCACUGAAUUGUACACUUUAUAAUACUGCGUUGAUGGUAUGUGGAUCAAGUCUCAAUGUAACACAAAGAAGCAUGUUGUACUGUAUAGAACACCAGGUGCCAGAAGACCAAACAUGCUGGCAGAUGGAAAAAAGAGGAGUGAAGAUUCACUCUCCCUUGACCAAGAUCAGAGUGAGUCAGUGGCGAGGCUGGGAGCCACACAGCUUGUCCUGCCUUGUGAUCCCCCUCCUCUUCCUAUUCCAGAUGGUUUUUCAGUGCCAUUAACUUGUUUUGUAACACUAAUAUUCAAUAAGAUGAUGUUACAAAGAGAAAGAAUGUGAGUGCCACAUGACUGGUUAAGUAUGGAUUCUCAAACUAGGGCUUUAAAUAUCCUUCGUGAUUUUUUUUGGCAUGAAAACUUGUAAGACCACUGGUGGGCUCUGUACAAAGUCGGCUACCCCUUCAUUCUAUAUCUUCCUCUGCCCACUUUCCUCCCAGCUAUUAAAAAUGAAUGUAGGCUGGGCACAGCAUCUCAAGCCUGUAAUCUCAGCACUUUGGGAGGCCAAAGCAGAAGGAGAGCUUGAGCCCAGGAGUUUGAGACCAGCCUGGGUAACAAAGUGAGACCCUGUUUCUAUUUUUUUUUAAACACCAAAAAUAAUGACUGUAAGGCAGUAUGUAGCCAAACAACUUGGCAAAGUUUGUUAUCUUUCCUCCAAAAUUCUCUCACUCUCCAACCUUCCCUCUUUCUUGAUAGCUCAUCCAUAGCCUUGAGCUCAGCAUUACCUCUGAACUAGGAAGCUCUUCUCCAGCUGACAUUAGGAUCUUUGCAUUUGUCCCUAAUGAAAUCAAAAUAUAGGGCCAUUCGAUAUUAUCCUCUUUUCCUCCUGUUCUAAGGCAUUCUUUUCUUGACUAAGGUUGUGCCUGGGCCAUGGAGAGACUGAGUGGGAACUGGCUCAACGGCUCAAGUUUGAGGACUCUACAGCAACUCUUUUCCACAAACCAAAUGAUAUGAAUGUUUUUAUUUAUUUAUAUUUAUGUUUCCACUUUUUAAAAGUCUUUUUGUAGAGAUUGGGGUCUCACUUUGUUGCCCAGGCUGAACUUGAACUCCAGGGGCUCAAGCGAUCUGCCUGUCUUGGCCUCCUAAAGUGCUGGGAUUACAGGCAUGAGCCAGCGCGCCCAGCCUCGAGUGUUUUUAGAUUCACAGUAGAUGACCAUUUCCAUUUCUGGUUCAAGUCCUUCAUUUUAUACAUUAAACUAAGGUGCACUGACUCCCAGUCCAUCGCCUUUUUGGUAUCUUUAUGGAAGUAAAAUGUGGCAAGCUUUUUUUCAGCCUCAAAGACUGUCUCAGAGUAAAAGUUUAAGAAGUACUGCUCUAAAUAAUUUUAUUAAAUAUGCCUUAUUAGAUGAGGAAAACUGAAAUAUUUUUAUACAAGCCUUUUGCUGUAGAACAAUGGGACAGAAUAAAGGUAGCUCACAAAAUAAGGGAAC
rnacentral:lncRNA from 1 species